AUACAUGUUGGACCGUUUCCUUCAUAGCUUCACACCCAAACAUCUCCAUAAAGGCAUGUUUGAUGGCAUUACAGACAGCUCGCAGAGCAGUCGCAACGAGAGAUAACAUGAUCCAACCAUAGCAACAAUUGACUCAUUGUCCUCCAUUAGUGAGGAUGAACUGAGGCCGACUCAUUGUCCUCCAUUAGUGAGGAUGAACUGAGGCCGAGAGAUAAGGAAAGAAGUUAUAAGUCAGAGCACGACACAAUUGGGUUGCAGGAAAAUCAGAUGCAGAGGUCGAGUAUGAGAGGAAGAAGAGUAUACCUCAGACUAAUCCAAGACCACUCUAAUGGCUGAGUUGGCUUCCUCCAGCAUCUCAAACGAAAUUUGUGGAGUGGCAAAAGGAAUGGCAAAGGGUCCUCCAGCAUCUCAAGGUAGCACAUUAUUAUAUUAUACUUUUUAAAAAAUACUGUACAAAGGAAGAUACACAUACACAACACCGCAUGUACACACACUCAAACUUUUGAAUGGCUACUACAGAUUGGGCAUACCGAAGAAGUUAUAACAAGCGUCUCACUUUCAACAGACAUAUGCCUAAUACUAAAUAAAUAAUUCCCCAAAAAUACGAGCAGGUUCCACUGAUAAAGAACCUAACCAACUGAGCUACGACAGCUCUAAACUCCACUAGUUCCCCGAUUCGUGCUUCAGUUCUAUAGUCCUAAUAAGAUUUUACAGCAUUAUCAUGCCUAGCAUUAACAGGGGACAGUUUCUGCAUGGCCCAAGAAACCCCCUAGCUCCAUAUUGUCCCCAAUAUAUUGCACAGGAAUCGAAUCAGAAAUCUCUAGUUUAUCGGCUAAGGUGGCAGCAGAGUGCCCUUUCUCCAUCAGUGAGAUGAACUAAGGGGCGGUGAUGAAUAAAGAAAAAUCAAGUUAGAGAAAAGCACACCAGAGUGCAGGAUGGAUCUUAGCUGCUAUGCAGACAACCAAGAGAGAACGAAGAUUGUACCAUAAAGUUGGACAAGCGCUCUGCAACAUUUGGGUUGGUUUCCUCCAACAUCCCAAAUGAAUGGUGAGGAGUCCCAACUCCUAACAAAAGAAGUCCCAACGUCUCUCUUUCUCGUGGACUGAUCAGUCAUUGUUUAUGUUUAGCGGAGCUAUUUUACUUUUUGUGUGGUUAUAUAUAUAGUUCAGCCCCUCACACAUGCAUAUAUGCCACUCACCGUUCACCAUACAUCCAUGAAAAAGGUGUGCAAUCCUUGAUGCAUAAUUAUGGUGUGAGAUUUGUCUGAGCUUUGGGAAAUUUAC
rnacentral:lncRNA from 1 species